rnacentral:misc_RNA from 1 species
AAGUCGUAACAAGGUUUCCGUAGGUGAACCUGCGGAAGGAUCAUUUGUGAAAAUUUAAUGUUUUUUUUUGAAGAGGGGUAAAAUCCUUUUUAGAAAAACAUAAAAAAAGAGAUUUCUUGUGGUUUAUAAAUGAUUUUUAAAGAAAAAAUUGUUUGUUGUUGGAUUCUUCUAAUGACAAACAAUUUAUAUUUUUAAAAAAUCAAUUUUUUAUAAAAAACUAUUUUAAACAUGUAUUUAAAAAAUUAACAGUUUUAAAAAAAUAAAUUAAAAAAAUAAAUUAAAACUGUCAACGGUGGAUCUCUUGGCUCGU